rnacentral:lncRNA from 1 species
GUUUCUUUCCUUUGUUUCUCACUUCUCUAGCUUGUUAGUAAUAGGCACUAAAUCUUACUAUCUCCCUAUGCUGAGUAUGCUUUGCCCGUCACGAUAAUUGUUGAGCGAUCUCCCCGUCCUUAUCACAACCCUUGAGCCCUUUGCAUUGUAUUUUCUCCCCCUUUCUCUUUGAGGAGGGGGAGUGAGAGAGCGGCCGUGGUGGAACUCGGCUGCCCACCCGAUUAAAACCACCGCAGCUGCAAAGUACUGGAAAAUUUUUCAGAAGAAACAAGGUGUUUAACAAGGAAAUAUAUAGUUUCCUUUUUAAGGCUUCCUGGAUAAUUGUGGUUAUUUCAUAUUCCCAACUCGCAGGAAGAGAAUUGUUGAUUUCACCUUCUUUUUUCUUACACGGAAAUAAAACAUCAACAGCUCUAAAAGUAAGGGGAAUGUAUCAGAAUCAAGCUCUUUUUGUCUGUAAUCCUGUCUUAAGGAAUAGAUUUAUCACACACCUUCCACAGAUGUAUGGUAGCAGAGAAUAAUUUUGGAACUACUCUAAUUAAAGUCAAUUGGGGGAUAGUGGUACUUCUCUAAUUGUUUCUGAAACACGCGCAUUAGCAACAGAGAGUGUUCUGUUGUCAUUGCAAGGCGCCUACGGUGAUGACUUCAGAAACAGAACUGAAUUAUGUCACCAUGGCACUUUGGAACAGCUGCCUCUGUGCAAGUUUAGCUAGGAGGGACAGAGAAGCGUGCUGGAUGUGAUGAGACCAUGUGAGGAUUUGUGAAUCUCACCUUGAGGUGCAUAGAGAGGGCCCAUGCCCUUCUUAUCCAAAACUCCAUAUUAUAGCUGAUCUUCAUCUCUGAUCUUAAAAGCUUCACAGACAAAAAGAGAAUUGAGAUGAGGAAGGAAACGGAGAAUGCUGAUGAAUAUUUCCAAUUACCACCCCAACUUAUGUCUUGGCUCUUCACAUCAAGCCAGAGCAGUUUCUUUGCCUCCGGAACCUGCAGACUGACCUCUUGUGUGUAUCCGUGGUGGACUGAGGGUAAAGUUUGUAACACACAAUGAUGCUGUAUUCACUGUAACUUUAAUAAAAGAGAGCAAAGAGCUAACCUGCA